rnacentral:lncRNA from 1 species
CUGCAACUGACUCAAGAAAAAGGAUACACAUUUCUAAGCCAGCAGUUAGGCUGAGAGCUGCUAACAACUGAAUAGACAAGGCCAAUUAUUCCUUCCUAUUCUACCCUAAGUGUGCCAACAGUGAAUGAGGAACCUUAGAGAAGAGUAAUAUAUGCAAGUUUAACCCAGCACAAUCAACUAUGAAAAAUGAUAGAAAUCAAUGCAGUUCAUCAAGAAAGCGGGAGAAAAGUAUCAAAGGCAAACAAGGAGGAUUUUAAAAAGGACAUGAGCCAUCUCCCUGUACCCCAUGAAAGAAUCCCUGCUAGAGACUCUAUGAACAAUUGGUCCUAUGGAUUUCAAUGCAUGGAAAGCAGCUUGCUCUUCAAUGGCACACUGCUCUUUCAGUGCAACUGUCACUGGAGGAUGCAAGUAUAGU